rnacentral:siRNA from 1 species
CUCAUCAUCAACAACUACUAC